rnacentral:rRNA from 1 species
UGGGGAAUUUUGGACAAUGGGCGAAAGCCUGAUCCAGCAAUGCCGCGUGUGUGAAGAAGGCCUUCGGGUUGUAAAGCACUUUUGUCCGGAAAGAAAUCCUUGGCUCUAAUGCAGUCGGGGGAUGACGGUACCGGAAGAAUAAGCACCGGCUAACUACGUGCCAGCAGCCGCGGUAAUACGUAGGGUGCAAGCGUUAAUCGGAAUUACUGGGCGUAAAGCGUGCGCAGGCGGUUUGCUAAGACCGAUGUGAAAUCCCCGGGCUCAACCUGGGAACUGCAUUGGUGACUGGCAGGCUAGAGUAUGGCAGAGGGGGGUAGAAUUCCACGUGUAGCAGUGAAAUGCGUAGAGAUGUGGAGGAAUACCGAUGGCGAAGGCAGCCCCCUGGGCCAAUACUGACGCUCAUGCACGAAAGCGUGGGGAGCAAACAGGAUUAGAUACCCUGGUAGUCCACGCCCUAAACGAUGUCAACUAGUUGUUGGGGAUUCAUUUCCUUAGUAACGUAGCUAACGCGUGAAGUUGACCGCCUGGGGAGUACGGUCGCAAGAUUAAAACUCAAAUGAAUUGACGGGGUCAUAGCUGUUUCCU